GACGAACGCUGGCGGCGUGCCUAAUACAUGCAAGUCGUGCGGACCUUGUUGAAAGCUUGCUUUUAAAAGGUUAGCGGCGGACGGGUGAGUAACACGUGGGCAACCUGCCUGUAAGACUGGGAUAACGCCGGGAAACCGGGGCUAAUACCAGAUCGUUUUUUCCUCCGCAUGGAGGAAAAAGGAAAGGCGGCUUCGGCUGCCACUUACAGAUGGGCCCGCGGCGCAUUAGCUAGUUGGCGGGGUAAUGGCCCACCAAGGCAACGAUGCGUAGCCGACCUGAGAGGGUGAUCGGCCACAUUGGGACUGAGACACGGCCCAAACUCCUACGGGAGGCAGCAGGAGGGAAUCUUCCGCAAUGGACGAAAGUCUGACGGAGCAACGCCGCGUGAGUGAAGAAGGCCUUCGGGUCGUAAAACUCUGUUGCCGGGGAAGAACAAGUGCCGUUCGAACAGGGCGGCGCCUUGACGGUACCCGGCCAGAAAGCCACGGCUAACUACGUG
rnacentral:rRNA from 1 species